AUACUAACCUGGCGUAGGGGUUACCGUGAUCACGAAGGGGGUUCUCCCGGAGUGAGGCUUGACCUAUCCACUAUCGGUUGAGUUGACCUCAGCGAUUAUUCCUAAUACGAAUAACUCGUGCGUGUAAUUUUUGACAGAUUUGACAGAU
rfam:Glossina fuscipes fuscipes unplaced genomic scaffold Scaffold294, whole genome shotgun sequence.